CCUACGGGGGGCUGCAGUGAGGAAUAUUGGUCAAUGGGCGCGAGCCUGAACCAGCCAAGUAGCGUGAAGGAUGACUGCCCUACGGGUUGUAAACUUCUUUUAUACAGGAAUAAAGUGCGGCACGUGUGCCUUUUUGUAUGUACUUUAUGAAUAAGGCUCGGCUAACUCCGUGCCCGCAGCCGCGGUAAUACGGAGGAUCCGAGUGUUAUCCGGAUUUAUUGGGUUUAAGGGGUGGGUAGGCGGAUGUUUAAGUCAGCGGUAAAAGGUCCGGGCUAAACCCGGGCCGGCCGUUGAGAUUGGGGGUCUUGAGUGUGCGAGAAGUAGGCGGAAUGCGUGGUGUAGCGGUGAAAUGCAUAGAUAUCACGCAGAACACCGAUUGCGAAGGCAGCAUACCGGCGCCCGACUGACGCUGAGGCACGAAAGCGUGGGGAUCGAACAGGAGUAGAUACCCGAGUAGUC
rnacentral:rRNA from 1 species